UAUCUCAUUUAUGUCUUUAAAAUAUUCAGAAAGAUAGCUCUCUGAUUGGGGUUGAGUUUUAAUGAAAAAAUGAAUUAUUUCAUGUCAAUGGUGAGAUUUUUGAUCCCUAAAUAUAUUCAACAUAGUCAUUAUCUUUUGAGGGGAAGGUGCAGGGAGACAGUACAAUAAAUCCAUAGGUGCAUCGAAGGCAAGAGGUGUCUGCUGAUUCUUCUUAGGUAUUUUCUCACGAUGUGCACAGAGCCAGCGAUGCGGCAUUCCCUCCAAAUCUUGCUACAAUAAGACUCUAAAUCAUGUUUUCCUUUCUCUUGUUAGCUCUGUUUGGGUUUGCAGCCUUUGGGAAUAAACAGCUCUCCUGGCCUACAUGCCAGCAGUCAGCGGUUGCGGCGCUCCUGCUUUGUAACGAGCCUGUAAGACCGCGAGCGGCUGAGAAUCAAAUCACAACAGUGAGCCAAACAAUGAAAGAUGGAUUUCAGAGCUGAAGAGGAAGCAGACCUGUCAGAGGACAGCUUCUGACCACACCAUUUCUACACCAUUUCUACACAUCCCGUAGCUCUCAAUGCUGAAUCAGACAAUAAGGAGAGCCAGAGAGAGAACGAUGGGCUGAUAGACGCAGAGACAUGGAGCCGGUACCAAGACGAGAGUCUGCGCAGAAUUAAAAGAUAAGCCGGAGCCGCACGUUUCCAAAUUUGGUUGU